rnacentral:misc_RNA from 1 species
AACUAACGCUAUAUAAGUAUACAGUUUCUGUAGUUUAUUGGUAUGAGAAGCUUCCGGAACCAGUAUUCCGGCAAAAUUUUGGGGUAGGGCGGAGCCCUAC